GGGAUUGCCUUAGUAGCGGCGAGUGAAGCGGCAAUAGCUCAAAUUUGAAAUCUGGCGUCUUCGGCGUCCGAGUUGUAAUUUGAAGAAGGUAUCUUUGAGGCUGGCUCUUGUCUAUGUUCCUUGGAACAGGACGUCACAGAGGGUGAGAAUCCCGUGCGAUGAGAUGCCCAGUUUCGUGUAAAGUUCCUUCGACGAGUCGAGUUGUUUGGGAAUGCAGCUCUUAGUGGGUGGUAAAUUCCAUCUAAAGCUAAAUAUUGGCGAGAGACCGAUAGCGAACAAGUACUGUGAAGGAAAGAUGAAAAGAACUUUGAAAAGAGAGUGAAAAAGUACGUGAAAUUGUUGAAAGGGAAGGGCUUGAGGUCAGACUUGGUUUACCAGGCCAGCAUCAGUUUGGGUGGCAGGAUAAUAGCUAAGGAAAGUGGCACGAUUUCGGUUGUGUGUUAUAGCCUUGGUUGAUACUGCCUGCCUAGACUGAGGACUGCGUCUUUGACUAGGAUGCUGGCAUAAUGACCUUAAGCCGCCCGUCUUGAAACACGGACCCA
rnacentral:rRNA from 1 species